AUGCUAAUGAAUCUUUAUUACUUGCUUCCCUGUAGAAUUUCGUAUGACCCCACAAGAUACCCUAAAUACAUUCCCGAAGCAUACUGUCUGUGCAAGGGCUGCCUCAUGGGGAUCUUUGGUGAGGAGAAUUUUCACUUCCGCAGCACCCCCGUGUACAUGCCCACCGUCAUCCUGCGCCGCACCUCCUCUUGCGCUGGAGGCCGCUAUGUGUACACGGAAGACUACGUCACUAUCCCAGUGGGCUGCACUUGUGUGCCUGAGCAAGAAAAGGAGGCCGAAGACGUAAAUUCCAGCAUAGACAAGCAAGAAAUGAAGUUGCUGGUCAACCAGAACAAGCCGUCAUCGGAAUGA